GGAAAUUUUCUAACUUUAUAAUGUUUAAUCCAAAACAAAACACUAUUACGAAGGCUGUCUUCUCUAAGAACCCUACCAAUCUCUCCCAUUUCCUCAACUCCAAUUAGGCGUCCCCCGUUUUAUGUUCACUAAACCGCCGAGGUCGCCAUAUGGUGCAGAGAAUUGAAAGGGAAAACUACAUGGGUGUUAGAUUGUCCUAGAAUUCUAAACACGACAGAAGGUUACCAAAAUUUAGGCCGCCUUUUACACACAAUCAACUGCCAUAUUUAAUCUAUUCUCUACAUCUGGUUGAAGAUAUUAAGAUUUUGUUGUUGGAAGAAGAGUUUAGAGGAAUGUGAGAGCAACUAAUUCAAAGGAAUCCUCGACUUGAGGAAAACAUGAACACUAAAGUUAAAACUAUGACCGACGAUGAUUGUUUUGGAACUUUCAAGGGAAAGUUUAUGUAAUUGAAUGUUGAAGUAACUAUGUGUUUGAUUCAAGUUGUUUGUACUGUACUGGGAAUUCAAGUAUUGGAAUGAGCGUCAAUGUUACUUUGAAUA